UUCCUGGAGACUAUAAAUAGAGAGGAAGAGUGAGCGUAGUAUAUACAAAAGCCAAAUCACAAGAGUCAUAUAUUGCUGUAAAAUAUGAAGAAAGCUAUUCUAAUUGCUUUUCUCAUUUGGGUUUCUGCCAUAUUUCUCUCCCUUCCCUCUUCCACUCAUGCACGUCUAUUACAAGAAAGGACAUCAAUAACCUCGCCAACGCCGGAGAAGAAUACGCCUGCAGUAAAAUGUCCUCCUGGUUCUCGUUAUGCUGCUUGCCUUCCACCACGAGCAAAGCCCAUUCCAAAAGCUCCUUGCAAUCCCUAUGAGCGUGGCUGUAAGAAGUAGGAAAUAAAAGAAAUAUAUGAAUGAUACGUAUAAGGUAUAAUAAUAAUAUAUAGUCCUUUUGCUUGGUGGAAGAUCAUGAUAACAAUCUCCUAAUAAUCCAUUAUUAAAUAAAUUACUCUCAUGUUUCUGUGUCAUGUGUGUUGUUUCAGCUUUUGAUUAUCAUUUCUCCUUUGAGGAAAAUGUCUUCAUGCCUAGAUUAUUUGAUGGGAAGUCGAGGUUUAGGUUUCUCAUGAAUUCUACAUGUACGUGUGAGCGUGAGAAUUAUGUAAUUCUUAAAUUUAUGUGCUGGUGUUGUACUUGAAAUAAAGAAUUAACUCCACU